AACGUUCAGAUAGCAGUUUUGAUUACUAUUUCGUUCCAUUGUCAUGUUUGGUGGAAUCACAGUUCCUCCCCGCACUCUGUGAUAGGCAAUUAUUGAUAUGGGAGCAGAGAUUAUUUUUCACACAUUUUUAUAACCCUAGCGUAGCGCUCAAAUUUACACGGGCUUGGCUGUGACGUCAUCCACGUCUCGCGAGGUUCCUUGCCAUGGAUACAAUAGCGGGAACCAAUCAGCAAGCGAGCGUUGAUUCGUUAAUCAUGACUAAUCACCGGCUUGAUUGUCUUCUGUUUAUUUUGGACUCGUACGUCACAACAUCUCCUCUAAGCGUGGGAUCAAUGACUCACAUUGAUGUUUUUAACUGUUGUUGGAAAAUCAAUGUCUAGCAAGAUCUGUUUAUCUGUCCUCAGACUCGACGGCAGUAGAGUGUAAAUACGUGGAUGAAACGCCGCUCGAAGUUGGUGUGAUUUGCGCUUCGUUUAUUUGCAGAAACAUUGAGAAAAUAAAGUUUGCUUGGGAGUGUGGAGUUGGGACAAGGGAGAAUGGACUCAUGACUGACAUCGUAAGUACUGAGGAAGAAAAGUGGAAGAGGAAAUUAAACGAAAACUAAAGAAGCAAUGAAAACKAAAAGAAARUUGGAUUAAGAAAAWAUUGUAGAAGUGAUCUUGCAGCCUGUAAAACUACUUGAAUUUUCUACAAACUUCUGCAGAAUGUUUUGUUAGUUUAUCACAGGAGACAAUCGACCACACUGGACAAGAGAUACGCCACGAUAUCAUGAAGUUGUCGGGUUAAAUGAGAUACAUAUGACUUCAGGAUAAAAUCAGUUAUCUAAAAAGAUGAAAGAUGAAGCUUGACACAUCAACUGUCUUUGUAGUAUAAGCUCACUGAACCAUGUCACUCUAUACCGGAAGGACUUUUUGUUCGUUAGACAAUAAUUUUUUUUGCCUAACAAUCACUUUUGUUCGUGAUGUAUUUAUAGAAAUCUGAUAUUAUACUUCCCAUAUCAGUGGGUUUUUUUGUGA